GAUGAACGCUGGCGGCGUGCCUAAUACAUGCAAGUCGAGCGAACAGACGAGGAGCUUUCUCCUCUGACGUUAGCGGCGGACGGGUGAGUAACACGUGGAUAACCUACCUAUAAGACUGGGAUAACUUCGGGAAACCGGAGCUAAUACCGGAUAAUAUAUUGAACCGCAUGGUUCAAUAGUGAAAGACGGUUUUGCUGUCACUUAUAGAUGGAUCCGCGCCGCAUUAGCUAGUUGGUAAGGUAACGGCUUACCAAGGCAACGAUGCGUAGCCGACCUGAGAGGGUGAUCGGCCACACUGGAACUGAGACACGGUCCAGACUCCUACGGGAGGCAGCAGUAGGGAAUCUUCCGAAAUGGGCGAAAGCCUGACGGAGCAACGCCGCGUGAGUGAUGAAGGUCUUCGGAUCGUAAAACUCUGUUAUUAGGGAAGAACAAAUGUGUAAGUAACUAUGCACGUCUUGACGGUACCUAAUCAGAAAGCCACGGCUAACUACGUG
rnacentral:rRNA from 1 species